CAGACCUUACUUCAUAGGAUCAUUUCUAUAGUAAGUUCUUCACGAGACCUUCACAACAUGUGAGAUCGUACCU